rnacentral:rRNA from 1 species
UACGGGGGGAGCAAGCGUUGUUCGGAUUUACUGGGCGUAAAGGGCGCGUAGGCGGUCAGCACAAGUCAGUUGUGAAAUCUCCGGGCUUAACUCGGAAAGGUCAACUGAUACUGUGCGACUAGAGUGCGGAAGGGGCAACUGGAAUUCUCGGUGUAGCGGUGAAAUGCGUAGAUAUCGAGAGGAACACCUGCGGCGAAGGCGGGUUGCUGGGCUGACACUGACGCUGAAACGCGAAAGCUAGGGGAGCGAACGGG